AGAGCGUGGCUAAGAUGGAAAAGCAUCUCCCUUACACUGAGAAGUCACCCGUUCAAGUCGGGUCGCCCUGAU
rnacentral:tRNA from 1 species